GUGGCAGUCGCGUGGGAACGCUGUCCCGAUCCCCACACCCGUCUGACCCUGACCGCGCCUCCAUUCUCCCAAUCCACCGACCGAAUUCCAAACCCUGCCAGGGCUUCCCUCCUCCGGCGCCAGCCGCCGCUCGUCGGCUGCCUCCGCCCCAAUCCAAUGGCGUAUGAGGAGAGCAAAAAUCAUCUCCUUAGCCUCAGUUACCAAGAGCUCCAAUGUUUGUGCAAAAGGUACAACCUUCCUUCUAAGAAGACCCAUUCUCAGUUAGCAAGCUCGCUUGCCUUGCUGCUUGAGGCACCUCCAUCUCCUGCUGCCUCUCCUAUCCCUUUAGCAACUGCGAAAGAAACAUCCACAUGCGACCAUGUUAACAACAAAAGAGGCCCAUACAAUGUCAGAGAUGAUGGUAGACCACUUGCGCAGGUGAAGCAUCAAAAAGGAUCUGAGACACCAAUUGAUGAAACAGCUAAAGGGCAGGGGAUUGACACUUGUACAAGUAUUUCUCCAGUUUCUAUCUAUGGAAGACCUGAUUGUCACGACCAUUCAUCUUCUGAAUGGUGGACUGAUCAUAAUUUGCAGUCUCAAAGUAAUGUGGGUAUUCCAACUAAGUCAGCGAAUCCAGGACUUGUUUGCAAACAUCAUCCUUCACCUGAUAACAUCAUUGAUCAAAUUUGUCCUCCCAUUAUUCAAAAACAUCCUGAGGCUUCCAUUCCUUUCAGCCGUACAGAAGAUACCACAGAUAAGGGUUGUGGGCCAUCUGAUAAGAUGUCAGAAAAUUUUCCUACUGUUCAAUUUUCUGUAAUGUCAGAUGAGGGCAUUGAUCUUGUUGUUGAUCUGAACUCCACUCCAGCAAGUUGGGCUAAGAACUUCAUGGCAGAAAUGUGCAUUACCCCUCCUCCUCAACCUGGGAAUUUCUCCAGCUUUAUUAGCAGCUUGGCAAGUAAGGAUGAUCAUAGCACUGCCUCGCCAUCUGGGAAUAUCAUUGUUGACAUCCAGAGCAAGGGAGCUGAGAUUAUCAUUCCUUCCACUAAUUCGUCACUUGCUUCAGAUGUUGGUGAGAACUCUCGUUCAGUGCCCUAUCCAGCUGAUACAAUUACUAUGAACUCAGUGUCAUCCCCAUCUACAUUGGCUGGUACUCCAGUUGAACUUUCUGGGUGUCAGGAGGGUGCUCCAGUGGUAUCUUCUUCAUGUUUAACAGCUGAUGUUCAGAACAAUGUGAUGUCCAAUAUGAUGCCUGGUGUUUUGGAUAAUGCAGUGCUUCCUCCAGAAUCUGCUGAUGCCUUUAUGCAGUCUGGAAGAAUCGCUGUACCCUUGGAUGCUGCUUCCGUGCUACCAACUGGCAAUAAAGUCAUGACGAGUCCCGGUAAAACCAACAUUUUUGGCAAGAUUUGUUGCACUCAAAAUGCUUCAGUUGCUGAUACAGACAAUUUAUAUUCCUUUUUGUCAGGGGGUGUGGUUAGAAGUUUCUCCAAUGAAGCCUCCUGUCCAAAAUCUUCGGAAAAACAAACUGCAGAUGCUCCUGCAAGGGUUCAGCCUUCUCACAAUGAUGACAUCCAUGAAACCCUAAUGGAAAAUGAACCAGUGGAGGCAGUGGCAGUGGAAGAAGAUGUAGGUUGUGGUGACAGUUUGUCCAUUUCCUGUCAGCUAGCUGGUCAGACAGUAGCAAAACUGCCAGUUACAGAUGCUCAGUCACAUGCUAGCUCUGCAUAUCAUUGUGUUGCUGGGAGUUUUGACCUCGCACAACCAACAUCAUCAUCUGCUGCUUCGUAAAAGGGGAAGAGAAGGAAAGCUGGUAAAUAUGUAUUUUUGGUCCAUGGCAAAGUCUACAUGUUCCACUUUUAGCUCUGCAACUGCAAACCUGCUUAUUUGGACAAUGCUAUUAAUUCGCUGACUUCAAAGUACGGUGCAGAGUCAGUGCAAAGUCAUGGUUCUACUGACAAAAAUAGAGGGCGUGGUGUUGAGCAGCUUGAAGAGUUAGAGAGCAUGACACCAGCAGCCUAUAGUGAACCUCCUAGAAAUAUACAACUUAGCUUACGAAGUGCUUCUGCUAAAAAAAAGCCUUCUACACUACCAAGACGGUCAGCAAGGCUUGUUCCUAAGUAACCGCUCUAAAUGAUGCAGACGAGACCCAUUGUGAGAGUAGCUACCGGCUUUAGUCAGAUUCGGUGAGGCUGGAGCCUGGAGGGAUAGAAUACAGUUGUUAACAAGCUAGAUUCUAAACAUGUCUAUUCUGGUUAAUUCUUUCGUCCUAGCAACUGAGUAGCUUGGUUUUAUGAGGUUAGCACUGCUGCCAGACAUUUGUUACCCCUUCUGUUUUUCAGCGUUUGUUACAGUUGAUGUACUGUCGAGCUUUCAUAUAUCAGUGUACAAACGAUGCAUACUUUUACAGAAAUUCUGUACCUGCCACAUUGUGAAUUCCCACAUUGUCACCGCCGUGCAAUGUAACUAUUGACUUGGAGUAAAGCUUGUUUUGCCUGAUGU